AUGUUCUCUAGGCCUUUUAGGAAG
rnacentral:piRNA from 1 species